rnacentral:rRNA from 1 species
AUCUGACUACAGGCGAGACGGGUACGGCCUGAGAGGGCGACGGCCACUCUGGGCUGAGACACGGCCCAGAUUCCAACGGGAGGCAGCAGUGGGGAAUAUUGCACAAUGGCGAAAGUCCUGAUGCAGCGACGCCGCGUGAGGGAUGACGGCCUUCGGGUUGUAAACCUCUUUCAGCAGGGAAGAAGCGAGAGUGACGGUACCUGCAGAAGAAGCGCCGGCUAACUACGUGCCAGCAGCCGCGGUAAUACGUAGGGCGCAAGCGUUGUCCGGAAUUAUUGGGCGUAAAGAGCUCGUAGGCGGCUUGUUGCGUCGGUUGUGAAAGCCCGGGGCUUAACCCCGGGUCUGCAGUCGAUACGGGCAGGCUAGAGUGUGGUAGGGGAGAUCGGAAUUCCUGGUGUAGCGGUGAAAUGCGCAGAUAUCAGGAGGAACACCGGUGGCGAAGGCGGAUCUCUGGGCCAUUACUUACGCUGAGAGCGAAAGCGUGGGGAGCGAACAGGAUUAGAUACCCUGGUAGUCCACGCCGUAAAACGUUGGGAAACUAAGGUGUUGGCGACAUUCCACGUCGUUCGGUGCCCGCAGCUAACGGCAUUAAGUUCCCCGCCUGGGGAGUACGGCCGCAAGGGCUUAAAACUCAAAGGAAUUGACGGGGGCCCCGCACAAAGCAGCGGAGCAUGUGGGUUUAAUUCGACGCAACGCGAAGAACCUUACCAAGGGCUUGACAUAUACCGGAAAGCAUCAGAGAUGGGUGCCCCCCUUGUGGUCGGUAUACAGGUGGUGCAUGGCUGUCGUCAGCUCGUGUCGUGAGAUGUUGGGUUAAGUCCCGCAACGAGCGCAACCCUUGUUCUGUGUUGCCAGCAUGCCCUUCGGGGUGAUGGGGACUCACAGGAGACUGCCGGGGUCAACUCGGAGGAAGGUGGGGACGACGUCAAGUCAUCAUGCCCCUUAUGUCUUGGGCUGCACACGUGCUACAAUGGCCGGUACAAUGAGCUGCGAUGCCGCGAGGCGGAGCGAAUCUCAAAAAGCCGGUCUCAGUUCGGAUUGGGGUCUGCAACUCGACCCCAUGAAGUCGGAGUUGCUAUUAAUCGCAGAUC